rnacentral:rRNA from 1 species
CGAUUCGCCCUUGGGCGCCCAGGCGCGAAAACUUUACAAUGCGUUAAACCGUGAUAAGGGGACACCGAGUGCCAGCAUCAUAUGCUGGCUGUCCAGGUGUGUAAAAUACACCUGUUAGCAAGGGCCGGGCAAGACCGGUGCCAGCCGCCGCGGUAACACCGGCGGCCCGAGUGGUGAUCGUGAUUAUUGGGUCUAAAGGGUCCGUAGCCGGUUUGGUCAGUCCUCCGGGAAAUCUGACGGCUCAACCGUUAGGCUUUCGGGGGAUACUGCCAGGCUUGGAACCGGGAGAGGUAAGAGGUACUACAGGGGUAGGAGUGAAAUCUUGUAAUCCCUGUGAGACCACCUGUGGCGAAGGCGUCUUACCAGAACGGGUUCGACGGUGAGGGACGAAAGCUGGGGGCACGAACCGGAUUAGAUACCCGGGUAGUCCUAGCCGUAAACGAUACUCGCUAGGUGUCAGCCACGGUGCGACCGUGGUUGGUGCCGUAGGGAAGCCGUGAAGCGAGCCACCUGGGAAGUACGGCCGCAAGGCUGAAACUUAAAGGAAUUGGCGGGGGAGCAC